UACGUAGGUGGCAAGCGUUGUCCGGAUUUACUGGGCGUAAAGAGCGCGCAGGCGGUCGUUCAAGUCGCGUGUGAAAGCCCCCGGCUCAACUGGGGAGGGUCACGCGAUACUGAUCGACUCGAAGGCAGGAGAGGGUAGUGGAAUUCCCGGUGUAGUGGUGAUAUGCGUAGAUAUCGGGAGGAACACCUGUGGCGAAGGCGGCUUUCUGGGCCUUACCUGACGCUGAGACGCGAAAGCGUGGGGAGCGAACCGG
rnacentral:rRNA from 1 species